GCCUGCACAUACAAACACAUACAGACACAUACAUGUAUACAUCCACAUAAUGCAUAUAUAUGCAACUCGAUGAAUCAUCAUGAGCGAAGCCGCGGCACCAAGGCUGGCGUUGCGGCAGAGACGGCGUUCAUUCCAGAUGUUCCUGCCAAGAUGGGGCGCGGCAGCAUGUUUGCGCGAGAACGGCACGAGCGUCGCCGCGGGAUACGACGACUGAUCCUCCCAUGUGUGUUUCUUGCUGGCUUCGUAGCGGGUUGGAUGCUCCACAACAUGUUUCGUGCCACGAUAGCUGUGCCCCACGACAUUGGGGCAGCAGUGGUGGCGCAGCCGAAGCGUGAGGGCGUUGGCCAGACUGGGAUGCCACGGCCCACCACACCGCCAUUGCCUUCCGCUAAGUUCAAGCUGCCCUCCAACGAUUCGCGAACGAAGACGCCAGCAACGAAAGCAUCCGGUGCGCGAAAGGUGGGUCCGCGAGUCCGCGGCGGGGAUCGUAGUCAAUACAGUGAGGAAGGCAAGUACGCCCCGGAGGAGCCGCGCCUCCUGCCUGGGCUGCAGAUCCAGCGGCGCACCUUCACCCCGGCGGAGCUGCUUGAGCGCUUCGGCGACACGGACAUCAUCUACAGCUUCGUCAACGGCAGCGAGGCGAACCACCAGUAUCGGAAGCUCGUCCAAAAAGCGUGCUUAAUGGCCGUUCUCAAGGCCGAGAAUGACUCGUAUAUGUCGCUGAAUCGCGACUUCACCGCAGGCGCCUCUACCACCUCACCAAGGAAAGUUUAUGCAGCCACGCCGGCAGAGAUGCCCGCAGAGGCGGCGGCCGACCAGAAAAGAGGGCUGUUGUCUGGGCUGCAGGCUGCGACUACCUCUGCGCCACUCAAUACUACCUCCACGACCGCGCCGACACCCUUUUCACAUCUGUCGUGUGUGCCCUCGCUAUUACGACCCGUCUUGGGACCGCGCAAAACCUUUGCCGAGCUCGUGAAGCGCGUCACAGCUGCUGCCCGCCACGGUGUCAGCGUCCGCGAUCGCGAGACGGACGAGCUGCGGCACAGCCUGCGCAGCGUGGAGCAGCACGUGCGGUGGCACCGCGGCCGCGUGGUGAUGGUGUCGCCCGGGCACCACCCGACGUGGGUGGACGGCGCGAAGAAUUUCCUUGCUGGGAUGUGCGGCGGUGCGCGCGUGCAGGCGCUGCGGUCGAGCGGGACGCACCUGCGCGUGACGACUGUGCACCAGGACGCCGUGAUGCCGUACGGGAUGCGGCUGACGGUGGACUCGCACGUGAUCGAGCAGCACCUGUGGCGCGUGCGCAACAUGACACCCGUGCACGUGUACAUGAACGACGACUACUUUGUGAACCGCGACGUUGCGAUCACGGACCUGUUCAACGAGUACGGCGGCACGAUUGUGCGGACGGAGAGGGGCAUCAUUGCGGCCGGCGCUGUCGCAGAUAGAAGCGCUUCCUGGGCAAAGGGCGUGCUGCACACGCAGCAGUUCAACAUCAUGGAGCUGGACGUGCUGCGCGAGGACUACCUGCCGGAGGCCCUAGUCGCCAUGUGGGACAGUCUGAAGCGCGUAAACAGGAGCGCUGGUGCCGCUGCCGUGACUGCUAUUUCCGUACCACCCCUUGACGAGGCGGUCGAUGUCGCGCACCAAUACGAACCGGACCCGCUGCCCGGCAAGUCGCUCAUACCACGCCGCCCGCGCCGAUACACCACCCACGCGCCGUUCGUGUACUGCACGAAUAUGUUCCGCUUCUUCGAGACCCGCUACGAGCGCGAGUUUGCCGCGACAGCGCUUCGCCACCGCAGUCGCAAGGCGCGCGACCUCUUCAUCCCGUUUGUGUACAACGCCUUCAUCAUGGCGCGGCCGUGGCAGGCGUCGCCGAAGUUCCUGCCGUACCUGCUGGAGCUGCACCGGAGCCGACGACAGGGGCGGGCGGACGCGAUGCCGCCGACGGAGAUCGUGCUGGACAACGUCGACGGCUGCGGCCCCGCAUCGUUGCUCAGCGGCGCGACUGAGUCUGAUUGCGUGUUUGCCAAGUUCCUGAACGACUUAACGCUGAACAAGGCGGUGGUGGAGCGCGUGCGGCAGGUGAACCCGCUGUACUUCAACAUCAACGCCGGGUUCAGCAGCGCGGAGGCUGCGGACCAGCUGCGCCGCUUCCUGCACGGCAAGUUUCCGACUCCGGUGUACCUGGAGGUGGGCGGAGCCCCGCCCCCCGGCGAGGGCCUCGUAGACGGCGCGGGGGAGGUGGUGGGCGGCAGGACGAGGGCUGCCGGGGCCGCCGCGGCUGCUGAGGAGGAAGCGCUGUCGAGGCUGUUUGGCGACCUGAUGGCGCUGCCGGUGGUGGGCGUUGUGUCGUAUGAGGAGGGCGUGUGCCCGCUUGUGCGGAGCCUUGCGCUUGCGUUCGCGGGGCACCACCGUGGCGGCGUGCGUGUGAGCGUGGAGCAGCACGGCGGCGCGGCGCUGCGUGAGGCGCGCGCUGCGCUUGGGCACCGCGUGGUGAGCGCGAUGCCUGCGCCUGCGUGCGCGUACAAGGAGCAGGUGAGCGUGGACCCCGCGGCACGGGGUGAGAGCGUUGCCGAGAUUGCCCGGCGCGCCAUGGGUGAAAUGCGGGGCGGCGUGGAGCUGCCGUCGACGUGCGGCGCCGGCGGCGCUGGGCUGCGCGUGCACGGGUUCGUGGUGGACGCGCGGACGCGCGGGGCGCCUGUGCGGAGCGCUGCUGCGCUGCGGGACGCGCUUGCGGUGCCUGCGCAGACGCUGUCGCUGGAGGACUUCCGCGCCGUUGCUGUUGGGCCGUCGGAGGGCGACGUGGUGCUGGUUGUGUCGCGCGAGGACGCGGAGGCGAAGGCGGUGCACUGGGUGAAUGGGGCGUCGGAGAGUGACCUGCUUGUGACGUACCCGCUGCCGGUGGAGGCGUACGAGGACAUGGGCGCGGAGGUGCGGUGGUCGGUGCCGUAGACGAUGAUAGAAGUGCCUAUGUGAGUGACUGACGCCUCUAGGAGGGCUCGGCAGGGGCAUGGUCGAAUGAGGUCACGAGCACGGUAACAGUUGUAUAGGCUGAAGAGGGAAGGGGCCACGGGGGCUGCUUCUGCGCUUGUGUUGGGCUUCGCUCACUCUUCAGCUGUUGUGCCGGCGGCGAGGUUCUUGUUGUUUGUUGCCUCGUGGUUUGGGAGAUGUUUCGAAGCGCGUGCUGUGAUUGCUGAGGUGGGGAGUGAGGUUGCGUUUUCAGUGUGUCCUGCGAGGGCACCAGAAGUUGGAGAGGAUGUCGACACAGCAGCUUACCGUGUCCCUAUCGAAUGCUGCUGAUGACGGCUUCUGGGCCGUUGAUGGACUGGGCGUGUCUGCUCUGUGCUUGGCCAUGGCGGAUUCCGUUGUGAGUAUGGGUGUUGUGCUUGUGCGUUUAUGUCUCUGUGGGGCUCUUAUCCACUCCUGCCUAGUGAUUUGUGGAUCGGAUAGCGGCGCGCCAUUAUUAGUAGCGGUCGUUUUUUCUUUGUUUUACGGCAGAUGGUGCGGCUCUAUGAUCGCAGCAGUCGUGCACCCCGCUAUCGUUCUCUCCCUCCUCUCUUUUUCUUUCUCUGUGUGCCUGUGCUUGUGUGCCUCUGUCCGUCCGUCUUUCUCUGCUCACGAGGAAGUGCAUUCGGUUGUUGCGACUUCGUAUCCACGUCACCUCCGAGGAAGGGGCGAGGAAGGAGAAGGGCUUCGCUUGUGUGGAUCUGUGAUGCUCAUAGGCCAGCUGCUCUUGUGGCCAGUGUGGUGAAGUUGUCAGCGACAGUGACGUGGUGAUGACCACAGUCACGCGACUACCGUACAUGCAUCAUGUGCUAAACGUGUCCGUAGAGGGAGAGGGAUGACCAUGUGCAGGUCGUUCUGUGCCCCUCUUCCCUCAUCGCUUCUCUUUUAUCGGCUUCGGAGACGCUGAUGACGCCGGCAGCCUCACCCUGGCGUCAAGGUCAAGGACCCACUCUUUGCGAUGAAGCGAAGGUUCUGCAGCCUGCCCUCGGGUGCCCGUUGCGAACUCGCGGUGUCGGCAGAGCGGACUGAGUGGGCGCUGUGUGGAGGAGACUGCCGGUCAAGCUGGUGCUUGCAACCCUUGACUGCGCAUCGUGUCGGUGAGUCCACAGAAGACCAGGAAAAGCGAGCGACGCAUGGCAUACAGGCAUGGUGCGCAGAGGGUCUCCAGAGGGUCCCUGGCCUGAGGCUGGCCAAGCUCCUCCUCCCUGAGCUCAUCCGGCACGCGCCUGAACCACACCUUGCUGCCUACACCACAAAAGCUCACCGCUUCCGCCCCUUGAGCACGGCUCUGAGCGCGGCGCGCUUGGAUCAAGGCAUGCAGCCCACCGGAGUGUCCGUCUGGCGCCGACCGCGCCGCACGUAUGGGAAGAAGGAACGAGGAAGGACAAGAGGAGCCCGUACCACGCAUGGCCCGAUUCGACGGCAGACGGUUCGUCCUAGACGGCCAGGGUGUAUCCGUGGUGCCGCAGCGGUAGGCGAUCUGCGGCUGUGUGUGCAUCUGCUUGCGGGCGUGCCCGUGGGAGAGUGGACUCGCUGAGGAGCGCAUCGGCUCUUCCCCUCUUCCCUUCCUUCUCUCGGAGCCUCCUGCCCCACGUGGCUUGCCUGCCGCCGAUGCCGGCCUUGACCCCCUUUAAGGGAUUGUGCCAUAUGCCAGUCCGUACCUUGCUUGUUUUUUGUCUUUCCCGAUAUCGUACCCCGUCCCGAUGCGCCGUUCCAACCGCGCAUCGGGGCAG
rnacentral:misc_RNA from 1 species